AAAUUGAUGUUAAGAUUAUACUACUUUCUAUUAUAGGUCCCCCCUUCCCUAGACAAGGACUUUGUCUCUGUGGUUGUCAACAGAGUCUAUUUUUUUCAAGUGAUCCUACUGUCGUUAUUGUCUCGUUUCACCAACGGGGAUCAGUUUGAUUGAAGUUGGAAACAGUUUACCAUGAACGACCAACGAUUUCAAGAGUUGUCGCGAUUCCUCAACAACCAAGGCUAACGGAAUUCUUCAGCCAUUGCCUUAUUUUCGCGACGGAACAGCCGAGAUGGUGCAAUUUUAUGAUGAUUUACUCUAUUAUACCGUUUAAUCUAAUGGUUCCAAACGAUUUCAAGAAAAACUGUUAGGAAUAGAACUACCUCCUUCCAGUAUUGUCAAGCCAGAAAACGCCCGAUUGGAAUUGACUCGAGUCUUCUGCAUCGCCAUUUAAAGGUAGGAUAAAUUUUUGAUUUUAUUUUUCCAUCGAGUGUUGCAGAAAAGUUUUCAAUCGCCAAGGGUUUUCCGCUUUCCAUCCGAUUAGUCCGUAGACUUGAACAACUUUUGAAUUUUAUGACAAGGCAAUUAAUCUGUUGCCAGGAAAGAAGCGAACUGUAGAGCUUUUUCUUAUUCUCGCCGUUCAUUUGAUUUAUAGGCCAUUUGUUUAAUUUUCUCGUGGAAAUGCGUCACACCUUAUGUGUAAGAAAAUGAUCGUGUACAACCGCCGGUUGGUGGGGGAAUGAAUUUAGGAAAGGAUGAGCUGGUUUAUCUUUUUCUAGAAAUUCAUGUAUUUUCCUGGUGGAAUAAGAACACUGGUUGUGAAUUUUUCAAAUGUGAAAAUUUCGCAUUACUUCUGUGUUUUAUUGAUUGAAAUCUAUCUUGAAUCAGUUACCUGUUGGUUCGUGGGUGUUUCCCAGAGGGGGGCAGCUGCUGCCCAGUCAUUUGUGAUUCAGUUUGCGUAUCGGAUCCCAUAACAAGCUGUUUUUCUGCCAGGAGAUCCAAAUGUUUAUGCCGGCUGUGCUUUGCAAACUCAGCCUGAGAAUUAGAAUCAUCCAAGAAUCGUUUUUGCUGGGCGUGGGAUGAACAGGCCACUGAAUUGAUCAUGUGUGAAAUUGUUGUCCCAGGAAGGCGACAGGUUGUGCAAUUGGUUGGGAACGGGAGACUCAAAUGAAUUGAAGCUGAAUGGAUAUAUGGCCGGUGGAAAGACACUUUUCGCUUGAUACGCUUAAAUAGCCGAUUGGCAGGUCUGGUUAAGCUGUGACAAGGACCGACGGAGCUCUUCCAGUUCGGCUUUUUUUCUUUUCCUGCCAUCGAAUCGUCGUUCUAACCGCUCGAUGCGAGUUCCCAUAUGGAAACUAGUGUGCCGCAAUUGACACAUGGCGUAGAGAGAAUAAGUUGCCAGGAUCCCAGGAUCCUAUUAUUGUUGGGCUGUGCGAGGGUUUGCGCUUCCUGUUGUUGCUCAGAAAUUCAUGUGGUUAUGUUGUUGCACAACAACAAUCUCUUGGAACCCUUUGUUCACUGAUUGUCAGGCGUCGAAGGUGAUUGGUCGUUUGGAUUGUUUUUAUUAUUUAAUUGAUUGAAAUUAAACCUUACGUCAUCAAAGACGAUUGAAAUCCCAUUAUUUUACGCUAUAGAUGUUCAAAUAUUUGAAUUCAUUUAAUAUUUGAAGAUUUUCUUUUUAUCGGAAUUGAUUCUAUUCUAUUGAUUUGUACUUUUUGAACAUUUGUUGAAUCUUUCUUUUGAUUUUUAUUCGACGGCAUUUCCCGUGGAUUUCAUAAAUUACUCUUGAGGAAGAAAACUUUCUGAGCAAUGCUAAUGGCGAACGCGGGAAACAAUUGAGUUUUGAAUCAGUAACUUGAAAAAGCCAAUGAGGAUGCCUUUGAUGCUAUGAUUGUGUUUACGAGGACAAUCAAAAUUCCGCAGCCAAUUAACAGAGAAUCAACGACGACUCGGCUGCCUGUUUUUAACCAAUAGAACGGAAAUUAGCGAAGAAGAAGGAAAUGAUUCGAACUCGUCGAAUAGGAACUGAGUCUCGUGCGUAACCGUACAGAUAGCCUGUCUGACAACCUUGACUAGAGGUGAACAAAACGAUCCCGAUCUGCUUCCAUCGGCCAUUUGAUUCUCUGAAAAUCAACGACCCUCCAUUAUCGUUCUGCGUAAUAUUUGAAAUCAAAAAAUUAUUUUCGAUUAAGAAACUUACGUUGCAUGGCCCACGGCUAAGCAUUUCGGUGGUGCACUCCUGCGUCAAAACCGUCAUAGUUGUACCCCAUCCGGCAACGGUAACUUGAAUGUUGACGUAACUCGGUUUGUUGUAAGUUGUCAGACAAAUCGGGCGAAUGUAUUCUGUGCAAUUAUUAUUUUUCGGCUAUUAGUUUAAAGUAUGAAACAAUCCAGUGGUAUAAUUUUGAUAGUUACGCCUGUAUGUAACGAUGUUGUAGAGUUUUUAUCGAGGCAAUGUCUCCGACCUCAGUAUGGGAUGGGAUCUAUCGAUGAACACUAACUGAAAAUGUGUUGACUCGCAGAGAAAUUUUUGAAAAAUGCUUUUUUGAUUUUUGGUCUGUUUUAAAAUGCUGCCCAGCCAACACACAUUAAAGCCUGGGCCGAAUAUCUUAUUUCAUUCUCAGCUGCGCGUGGCAUCGACAGCUCGCCUGGUAUGCAAAGGCUCGUGCAAAGGGCUGGCCUUUGUUCCGUGUGUUUAUCCCGCAGAGAUAUGUGAAAUAAAAUAGGUUAUCGGCUAUGAAAUAGAUAUUGGGAGAUAUAGGGGCAGAUUAACAAACUUUCUUUUUUUAAAUUGAAUUUUCUUUUUUUUUUUGGUUUUGUUUUUUGUUUUUUUAAAUUGAAUUUGGCACCACUGUUUUUUAUACCAGCGUAGAAGCGAGGAAAAUUGAACGACUUGCAGGGGGUUUAAUCUAAGCCGUGAAACAGUGGAGAUACAGAACAUUAUCAAAUGCAAAGUGAGCAAAAUUAUCUUAGGAGACAUGCAGACACGUCUAAAAGUUUAUUUUCCGUUUUUA